rnacentral:tmRNA from 1 species
GGGGGCGAAACAGGAUCGACGGGCGCGUAAAGGCUCAACUUUUGCCCGGCAUGGUACCACCGACAUCGGGCCAUAUUCAUAGGUGCCAACGAUAAUGUUGAAACCUCUGCUAUUGCCGCUUAAUAACCGGUAACAAGCGCGGUUCGGGGGGCACCGGGCAACAGAAGCCCCCCACU